rnacentral:lncRNA from 1 species
AAACGUUUUAAUGGAUCCAAACCUUCUCCCUUUUCUGAAACAAUAGCAUAACAUCACAACAUAGAAAAACCACAUGAUGAAAUAUCAAUUGACAGGCUUAACUCAAUUAAAAAACGUAAAUUAAUACACUAUGAACGAAUAAAUCUGAUCGGGGAUAUCUGAAUGCAAAUGCACAGAUAAUAAAAUAUUAGGGACACACAUUUGAGGCCAAAAAGCAAACAAACAAGUCCAAACAAA